CAAAAGAUAGUUUAUUAAAAACAGUAAUUUUGGAUAUUGCAAAUCUUAUUUUAAGUCUUUUGA
rnacentral:tRNA from 1 species